CUUUUGGAUUUUUNAAAUAAGGUAUAAUGAUAUCGGAUUUUGAAUUUAAUUAAAAAUUUUUGGGUUUUUUAGGCUAUGAGUGCGGUUUGUAGUGGAAAUAUGGGCUUUGAUUAUUAUGAAUGAGUUUGCAUUGAGGACAUUGUACAUGCAAUUAGAUAUGGUGGAGAAUUUUUGCAUUUUUUAGUUUUAUUUUGUUAUGGGUGACAAUUCAGAAGUUCUUCAGGUGGGAGUAGGGGAGGAUUGAUUGAUUGGGUGAUAUGUGAAAUUUCUCAAUCUAUGCUGCCGUGUGAAGUGUGGGGUAUUGAGGUGAUUUUUGAGCGAUCGUGUGUUAGAUCUAUAUACAUGCCUUAAACGCAAAUUCCUACUGUUGGGUAGGGAAAAUGCACUUGAAAGGAUACUAAAAUCUUCGAGAAGUUUGUAGUUAGUACAGAGGCGUUUUAGAAUUGGAAUUUGAAAUGAUUUUUGUGCAUUCCAAUUUCAGGAUAAUAUAAUGCUGUGAACAGAUUAAAAAAAGAUUAAUAUGUAUGCGCAUAUAAGAUUAGAUCUUGGAUGCUUGAGCACAUACUGCCCUUUUAUGUGAAAAGAUAAAAAAAAACAAUGUCCUUUAGGUUUGUAUAUGCAUGCGCGUAUAAGAUUAGAUCUUGGAUGCUUGAGUGUGCUGGCAAUAUCUAUUGCCGUUUCAAUUGAGGGUUUAUAAUCCUGUGGCUGCCACAGACAUUGGUCAUUAUUUCUUUUAAUACAGUUAAUAAUUGGAGAAUGGAGAGGGAAAUAGAAAAUCAGCGUAAACUCAGUGAGUUUUUACUAUUGCAUCAAUGGAUCUUCAUUAUUGAUGUAACUGGGCAUGUGAAGAUGGGUACGAGUCUAAGAAGGUAGUACAUUAGGAGAGUCUUGUUGUGGAGAGGGAGAUAUCAUUUUUGAUACCAAAGUGGAACUUUGGUUAUGUACCUGGUUGCACUCACUUAAGCUCCCAAGAAUAUUAAUUAAUUAAUUUAAUUUUUUUGAGAGAAAAUUGGAAGCGCAAUAAAGUUGUCCUCGUUCUGAAAAACUCAAACUGAACUCAAAGAAAUCCCAAAUGCCAGUGUUUGUUCUCAAGAUAAGCCAAAAUUCGGAGUAAGUCAAGUGAGUACCUUUCUUAUGUGUGGAAACCAUGCAGUCUGCUGUCUUUCCGCCCUCCAGGCACUGUUUCUUCUGGGUGGAGGUGAGCACUAGUACUUUCACACAUAAAUGUUAUUGCUGUUAUAAUACUUUGAUUGGCUUGCUUUACUGGUUAGAGGUGCGUGAUCAUCUUUUCUUGAAAGGAUAGAAAUUUGGUUUACUAUUUGACUUUGGGUGAAAUUUUCCUUUUCCUUCUUUAACAGGACGACGAGCUGUGAUAAAUAAUCAUCUGGCCACUUGUACUUUUAAGGAGUUACUGCCCAUCUAGAGUAUCCAAAUGUAUGUUUUUGGUUCCCAUUUACAUUUUUUAAAUUGCACUGUAUCCAAAAUUAUUACAGUCCUUUUCUCUGUUUGAAAUGCUCGUCUUUCACAUCCGGAUGAAACAAGAGGAUUAAUGUAUUGACUUGUACUGCUGUCAGCUUGUCUGUCGUUAUUCUAAUAAGUUGUUGCCAAACAUUAUUUUCUGCAUCCUUGCAUGUUCAUCGACAUGGCUUACUUGAAGUUAAGCAUUUUGAAAGUAUUACUUGUUUUAGUGAAACCUGUAUUGCAGUUUGCACAUAUAUUUCAAUAUUAUUCUUGUGCCUAGAUGGGAACCUUUUCUUAGUUCUA
rnacentral:lncRNA from 1 species